rnacentral:lncRNA from 1 species
UGAUCAUUCUUGGGUGUUUCUCGGAGCGGGGGAUGUGGCAGGGUCAUAGGAUAAUAGUGGAGAGAAGGUCAGCAGAUAAACACGUGAACAAAGGUCUCUGGUUUUCCUAGGCAGAGGUCCCUGCGGCCUUCUGCAGUGUUUGUGUCCCUGGGUACUUGAGAUUAGGGAGUGGUGAUGACUCUUAACGAGCAUGCUGUCUUCAAGCAUCUGUUUAACAAAGCACAUCUUGCACUGCCCUUAAUCCAUUUAACCCUGAGUUGACACAGCGCAUGUUUCAGAGAGCACGGGGUUGGGGGUAAGGUUAUAGAUUAACAGCAUCCCAAGGCAGAAGAAUUUUUCUUAGUACAGAACAAAAUGGAGUCUCCUAUGUUUACUUCUUUCUACACAGACACAGUAACAAUCUGAUCUCUCUUUCUUUUCCCCACAUUUCCCCCUUUUCUUUUCGACAAAACCACUAUCGUCAUCAUGGCCCGUUCUCAAUGGUCGCUGUCUCUUUGGAGCUGUUGGGUACACCUCCCAGACAGGGCAGCCGGGCAGAGGCGCUCUUCACCUCCCAGACGGGGCAGCCGGGCAGAGGCGCUCCUCACCUCCCAGACGAAGGGGGGCCAGGCAAAGGCGCUCCUCACUUCCCAGACGGGGUGGCGGCUGGGCAGAGGCGCUCCUCACAUCCCAGACGGUGGGUGGCUGGGCAGAGGCGCUCCUCACAUCCCAGAUGAUGGGCGGCUGGGCAGAGGGGCUCCUCACUUCUCAGACGGGGCAGCUGGGCAGAGGCGCUCCUCAGUUCCCAGAUGGGGUGGUGGCCGGGCAGAGGCACUCCUCACAUCCCAGAUGAUGGGCGGCCGGGCAGAGGUGCCCCUCACAUCCCAGACGAUGGGCGGCCAGGCAGAGACGCUCCUCACUUCCUAAACGGGGUGACGGCCGGGCAGAGGUGGUCCCCACUUCCCAGACAGGGUGGCGGCCAGGCAGAGGUGCUCCUCACUUCCCAGACGGGGCGGCCGGGCAUAGGCACUCCUCAUAUCCCAGACGGGGCGGCCGGGCAGAGGGGCUCCUCACAUCCCAGACGAUGGGCGGCCAGGCAGAGACGCUCCUCACUUCCUAGAUGGGGUGGUGGCCGGGCAGAGGCUGUAAUCUUAGCACUUUCGGAGGCCAAGGCAGGCGGCUGGGAGGUGGAGGUUGUAGCAAGCUGAGAUCAUGCCACUGCACUCCAGCCUGGGCAACAUUGAGCAUUGAGUGAGCGAGACUCUGCAAUCUCAGCACCUCGGGAGGCCGAGGUGGGCAGAUCACUCUAGGUCAAGAGCUGGAGACCAGCCCAGUCAACACGGCGAAACCCCGUCUCCACCAAAAAUACAAAAACCAGUCAGGCGUGGCGGCACGCGCCUGCAAUCCCAGGCACUUGGCAGGCUGAGGCAGGAGAAUCAUGGGAGCCUGAGGUAGGGAGGUUGCAGCGAGCUGAGAUCACGGCAGUACAGUCCAGCCUCGGCAACAGAGGGCGACCGAAGAAAGAGAGAGGGAGAGGGGCAGGGGGAGGGGGAGGGGGAGGCUUUUUUUUUUUUCUGAGACAGAGUCUUGCUGUGUUGCCCAGGCUAGAGUACAGUGAUGCAGUCACAGCUCACUGCAGCCUCCAGC